rnacentral:rRNA from 1 species
CCUACGGGCGGCAGCAGUGGGGAAUAUUGCACAAUGGAGGGAACUCUGAUGCAGCGACGCCGCGUGAGUGAAGAAGUAAUUCGUUAUGUAAAGCUCUAUCAGCAGGGAAGAAAGUGACGGUACCUGAAAAAGAAGCUCCGGCGAAAUACGUGCCAGCAGCCGCGGUAAGACGUAUGGAGCAAGCGUUAUCCGGAUUUACUGGGUGUAAAGGGAGAGUAGGUGGCAGAGCAAGGCCGAGGUGAAAACCCAAAGCUCAACUCUGGGAAUGCUUUAGAAACUGCUAAGCUAGAGUGCAGGAGAGUCCAGUCGGAUUCUUAGUGUAGCGGUGAAAUGCGUAGAUAUUAGGAGGAACACCCGUGGCGCCGGCGGCUUGCUGGACUGUACCUGACACUGAGGCUCGAAAGCGUGGGGAGCAAACAGGAUUAGAUACCCCAGUAGUC